UGAAAAUGGCACUUUUUUAUUGAUCGCGAAUUUCGUCCCUUUUAAGUUCUUCGAUUCCCAGUGCUGUCCAAUAUCUCCAUUAUUUCUUUUUCUUUUUCGCUUUCAUAUUAUUCUGGCUCCUGGAAAAUUACGAUUCGUGAGUAUCCAUCUUUGCUUCGUAAUCCCUUGGUUGCCACAAUUUUCGGAGGAUAUUUUCGGUUUCGAUUCCUAUUUGAAGUUUGGGAAAGCCUGAGGUUUGCUUGCUGUUCAUUGUACCCCCAUGAGUGAUGCUCUUCUUUCUCGUAGUACCUAAUACUUCUCAAGGACGCCAUUUAUAAAUCUGCGACUCAACACGGUACGUGGUGUCAUUGUUUAGAGUUCGUGGACUCUUCCGGUUUGUCUUCACCUUGCUUCGUAUUUUCUUCGCAUUCCAGGGUCCUUCUCCCCCAGUGUUCUUCUUGGUCCUGCGGAAACUGUGAGCAAGAGUUCGAAUUUAUUUGAAGAAGCAAGAAGAGAUCAACGUGCCACAUGGGAUUGGCAAUAUCCCAAACAACGAGGCGAAGCGACGAAUCUGUAGAACAGGUAGGUAGCAAAGAGGAUGGACUCACAGUUGGGUCUGAUAGACCAAUCAUUCGACAGUCGUUACUCCUGCCAUGUUCGCGAGGCGCUCGACGAAUUGCCUGACAAUUUUAUCAUCACCGACCCCUCUAUCGCUGGCCACCCGAUUGUUUUUGCGAGCCAUGGGUUCUUGAAAAUGUCAGGAUAUCCCAAAGAAGAGGUGAUUGGCAAGAAUGGUAAGAUUUUUCAAGGACCAGGGACCUGUAGAAGAUCGGUAAUAGAAAUUCGUGAGGCGAUAAGAGAAGAGAGACCCAUUCAGAUCAAUUUGUUGAAUUACCGUAGAGAUGGCAAACCUCUUUGGAUUUUGUUUCACAUGAGCCCCGUAUUUAACAAGUAUGAUGGUAGGGUGAGUCACUUUGUGGCAGUUCAGGUACCUCUAUCGAGGAAACGGAGGCGGUCGGGAUGCGGUGUUAGGAAAACUGACGUUAAUUUGAGUGAUGAUGGGUCUGUGGCUCAGGAUUUUGUGCAUGGAUCAUGUCGGAAGGAAGUGUGCUCGGAUUCUUUGUUGGAACUCGGUCGUGUCUUGUCCCUUCAUCAAGUUUCAGAAGUAGAACAUGAAGGGAGAGAAUCAAAUGGUGAAGAACCGUGUGAGGCAAGUGAUGUUGAUAAGAGAAAAGCUAUGACUGCCAUGGACAACAUUUUUUCUCUGCUAACCCACUACAGUGAGUUGACUGGCAGAUUGGUAUGUAGAAAGAGAUGCAGCAUUUCUGACGUGGGUUUUCUUAGUUCAUCAUUGAUUAUAUCCCUUGGUAGAAUCAAACAAAGCUUUGUAUUAACUAAUCCUCAUUUACCUGACAUGCCUAUUGUGUAUGCCAGUGAAGCCUUCUUGAAAUUGACAGGUUACGUAAAAGAUGAAGUGCUGGGACGCAACUGUAGAUUUCUAAGUGGGCCAAAUACUGAUGCAUCAGCUUUAUAUUUGAUAAGGGAGAGCAUUAAAGCUGAACAACCAUGCACAGUACAUAUUUUGAAUUACAGGAAGGACGAAAGCCCAUUUUGGAAUUUUCUACACAUAUCACCUAUUCGUGAUGCCUCUGGCAAGGGGGAGAAAGGCAAGGGAGGCUAGCAGCUGGUAGCUGAUGUCGUACAUUCGCCUUGGUUAUGAUUCGUAAUACUGAUAAGGAGUGGAUAAGUGAGAAGAAAGACGAGAUAGGAAGGUGGGGUUGCAAGAAUUGGGUCCCGCUCCCACCCAGUAUCUCAUCUCUCUCCUCACCGGAUCCUCACCAUCAUAGAAUUUGUUUUAAUCGGUUUAAUUUGUUUUCAUAUUAACUAGUUAUUUUCUGUAUGUUUCUGGGGGGUCUUGCUGAUGUAAGUUCAAGGAUUCUUUGAGGCAUCUUGGGAAGAGAUGCGUUCGGUAGUUUAUUACCGUAUUACUUGUAUAUACUUCAUGUGAUUAACGUCCAAGUCUACCUGCCUAGAUAAGUACCCCAGUCCUCCUGAUCUACUCCUGUACGAGCUCAAUUUGCCAUCUCUCAAAAGCCACUUAAACCAAGUUAUUAGUAGAAGUUUAUGAACUGUGGAAAUACUAGUAUAGCAUAUUUUGUGGGCGUUCAAGUAGAAGAAGGCUGUGAGAACAAGGAAGGUAGACAGGGCCUUAGCCCUGAGAGGAUUCAGCUCAGCGUGGUAGGAGCAGUGAGGGUUGCUGUGAGGAGUUCAUCAUUGACUGCAGGAUCUUCCAAGUCGCUUUGAUGGACUAUUAGCUGUUCAUUCAAAUUUCCUUUUGACAAAUAUGGUUUCCAAAAUUGUUACCCAUUUUCUGAGAUCAUGCAUCUAUCUCAACCAUGGUCGUUGAGAUGGCGAGAGAAGAAAAGAAAGAAAAUUAAAAUUGAAAAAGAGGGAGAAGAUUGGCUUGUCAAGUCCAUGAUGUCAAAUUGUCAAUUGUAAAGAUAACAAUAUGUAUUAUAGGCUUUAGAUAUGUGCUUUAUUUCCAUAAUUCGACUAGUAAUUGUCUGCAACCUA